rnacentral:rRNA from 1 species
UACGAAGGAUGCAAGCGUUAUCCGGAUUUAUUGGGUUUAAAGGGUGCGUAGGCGGACUUAUAAGUCAGUGGUGAAAUCUCGUUGCUUAACAACGAACGUGCCAUUGAUACUGUAGGUCUUGAGUACAGAUGCCGUUGGCGGAAUGUGUCAUGUAGCGGUGAAAUGCAUAGAUAUGACACAGAACACCGAUUGCGAAGGCAGCUGACGAAACUGUAACUGAC